rnacentral:rRNA from 1 species
AGAGUUUGAUCAUGGCUCAGAGCGAACGCUGGCGGCAGGCUUAACACAUGCAAGUCGAGCGGGCGUAGCAAUACGUCAGCGGCAGACGGGUGAGUAACGCGUGGGAACGUACCUUUUGGUUCGGAACAACCCAGGGAAACUUGGGCUAAUACCGGAUAAGCCCUUACGGGGAAAGAUUUAUCGCCGAAAGAUCGGCCCGCGUCUGAUUAGCUAGUUGGUGAGGUAAUGGCUCACCAAGGCGACGAUCAGUAGCUGGUCUGAGAGGAUGAUCAGCCACAUUGGGACUGAGACACGGCCCAAACUCCUACGGGAGGCAGCAGUGGGGAAUAUUGGACAAUGGGCGCAAGCCUGAUCCAGCCAUGCCGCGUGAGUGAUGAAGGCCCUAGGGUUGUAAAGCUCUUUUGUGCGGGAAGAUAAUGACGGUACCGCAAGAAUAAGCCCCGGCUAACUUCGUGCCAGCAGCCGCGGUAAUACGAAGGGGGCUAGCGUUGCUCGGAAUCACUGGGCGUAAAGGGUGCGUAGGCGGGUCUUUAAGUCAGGGGUGAAAUCCUGGAGCUCAACUCCAGAACUGCCUUUGAUACUGAAGAUCUUGAGUUCGGGAGAGGUGAGUGGAACUGCGAGUGUAGAGGUGAAAUUCGUAGAUAUUCGCAAGAACACCAGUGGCGAAGGCGGCUCACUGGCCCGAUACUGACGCUGAGGCACGAAAGCGUGGGGAGCAAACAGGAUUAGAUACCCCAGUAGUCC